rnacentral:tRNA from 1 species
UGUUCAGGGAUGGGAAACGAACCCACAAUGUUCCGCUUACCGGGCAGAUGCCAUGUCCACUAGGCUACCCUAGAC